GCAGGGCUUCUCUAAACCAGGAGGCUGGAAUUAGUGUGGAGAAAGCAGUAGGGAGGAAGUCAAUAGUCCCUUUCCCUGAGCUAAGAGAGAACAAGCCUGGUAGGAAGGCAUCCUGGGGUAAAAGCAGUAAGGUUGGUGGUGAUGCAGACAUUCAUUGUUCACUACAGGGUCCUGGACCCAGAGUAGAGGGUGGACCUGGGUUUCCUUACCAAUCACUGCAGUGUGGUGGUGUUACGGGCAGUGAACAGGAAGACUGCCAGAGUCACUGCUGGAGUGAUAGGGCCAGGGCAGCAGGCUUGAGGGCUGCCUGAUGCUGCUUGGGGACAGGGACUCUGAAAGACAACCCUGGAAGGGGAAAUGGCUGAGUCAUGAAGAGGUUGCAUCAGCUCUUGGAAUGAAAGAGGGGCUGCAGAGUGGGAGAGAGGUGGAGUGCACCUGCAGGAGAGGUGUCUGACGUGCAGAACUAAUCCGCAAAACUGCCAGGAGGAAGUGCUGUCUAGUGUGCUUCAAGCAAUCUACAGAAACCUUAGUAUCUCUUGAGAAGAAGUAAGAUCACAGAAGAACGAUGAAAGAAGUGAAGUUGCUACAAGGAUGGUGUUUGGAAGUAUUAUCAAGGACUCCCGCAGCUGGAUUGCCAAUGUCACCUACUGCAACACCCUUCCCUUCCUGAUGGGCCAUAUAGGUGACCAGCCUCCCAGAUCCUCAUAUGCCAUAGCUCCAUAGCACCAGCAGCAUCUAUGUGAGUGAUGCCAUCUUCCAACGGCAGGACUGUGACAUUCAGAGGCAUCUCUGGGAACCCCCAGACGAUUGGAUCCUGACUGGUCAUCGGGUGAAAUUUGUAUAUAGGGAGUGGUUUGUUCUUCCUAAUCCCAUGGAAUCUGCAGAAGAUAGUGUUUCCUGACUGGAAAUCCUGUUUGAACUGAGAUUGGCAAUACUGGGGCAGAAAUAUAUGACAACCGAGAUGUAUGCAAGGCCUGGAAGGUAGCACCGAAUAAUCAGAUGAAUGAUCAGAUAAACUAUAAAGAGAAAGAAAGAAGUCAGAGGUUCUGAUUCUGCCACUGUCACACAUGUUAAAUAAUACUUGAUGCUGGGAGCAGUCCCAUCUCUGAAAUCAGUGGAACUAUUUGGAGAAUAAGGCACUAUUCAGUGUGAGCAAGUGUUGGUAGAAUCAUGUCUCAAAGUCCCAAAUUCCUCAUUUAUUUAAAUAAAUCAGACUCUUAGAUUCCUCUAGGAUUUACCAAAGUCCCUAAGUAUCUUCCAGAGUUUUUUUUUCUCCUGAUAAGAAGUGCUAUCAAUGUGUAGAACA